ACUCAGCAAACAGAAAGAGGCCAGAAAAACGGGUGGUGGCCCAGCAGCCCCACCUUUAACGGAGGCAGAGGAGGCGGGGGGGGGGGGGGGGGAUUUGCAAUCAGACCGGCCGCGAUCGUCGAAGGGGGGGGGGGGCAGCUCCUCUGCCUCCCUUAAAGGUGGGGCUGCUGGGCCACCACCCGUUUUUGUGUUAGUUUAA